rnacentral:lncRNA from 1 species
UUGCGCGUUGAGCGUAUGAGAUCUCUUGGAGGGGGUCCCUGCCUCAUCUUAUAUAUCGAGGGUAGGGUUACAGGUCGGUUAUUGCAAGAAUAAGUAAAGGCAUGACAAAUCCUAGUUGCAUUACCCGAAUACUUUUCUUUUACCUGACUAGUUCUAUCUUUAACAUGGUCAACUACGUCGUCCUACAACAUAGUCUUCACGUCAGACACGCCUGGAUGUCCUAUUCCAAAUUUGUAACAGUCCAUGCACUGCUGGUGGACCCAUUAAUGCAUAUCCGACACUACCAUAGCAAAACGAAAGAGAAAAGAGAAUGAAGGAACUAAAUACAUUAGGGUGAAAUUGACUUACUUUGCUAGGCAAGGAUCUAAACACACCAGCCAACUAAACGCAUAAGCAGCAUGAAAAAAAAUGACUUUGUUAGUAGGGCAUGUGCCCCCUCCUCAACCCCUACACCCAAUACACACAAUAAGUUGUUCGUGCAUGCUACCAAAUAAGUGGAAUUGAUCAUGGGAAAAUA